rnacentral:rRNA from 1 species
AACGAACGCUGGCGGCAUGCCUAACACAUGCAAGUCGAACGAGACCUCCGGGGCUUGUGGCGCGCGGCUGGUUGCGGCCUGGUAAGUUGCCCUUAGGUUCGGUACCCCUCCCCGAGAGGUGUCCUCAUACCGCUUGAUCUCUUCCGCCCAAAGAUUUAUCGCGUUGGGAUGGGCCCGCGUUGGAUUCGCUAGUUGGUAGGGUAAAAGCCUACCAAGGCGAGGAUGCAUAGCUGGUCGGGGAGGAUGAUCAGCCACACUGGGACUGAGACACGGCCCAGACUCCUAGGGGAGGCAGCAGUGGGGAAUAUAGGACGAUGGACGAAAGCGUGACCCAGCAAUGCCGCGUGAGUGAUGAAGGCCUUAGGGUUGUAAAGCUCCUUUACCCGGAAUGAUAAUGACGGUACCGGGAGAAUAAGCACCGGCUAACUACGUG